rnacentral:rRNA from 1 species
GAAGAACCUUACCUACUCUUGACAUCCUGCGAAUUUGGUAGAGAUACCUUUGUGCCUUCGGGAACGCAGAGACAGGUGCUGCAUGGCUGUCGUCAGCUCGUGUUGUGAAAUGUUGGGUUAAGUCCCGUAACGAGCGCAACCCUUGUCCUUAUUUGCCAGCGCGUAAUGGCGGGAACUUUAAGGAGACUGCCGGUGACAAACCGGAGGAAGGUGGGGACGACGUCAAGUCAUCAUGGCCCUUACGAGUAGGGCUACACACGUGCUACAAUGGUCGGUACAAAGGGUUGCCAACUCGCGAGAGUGAGCCAAUCCCGAAAAGCCGAUCUCAGUCCGGAUCGGAGUCUGCAACUAGACUCCGUGAAGUAGGAAUCGCUAGUUAUCGUUGAUCAAAAUACCACGGUUUAUAUUUUUUUUUUCUUUUUAC